GUGACUGCGUACCUUUUGUAUAAUGGGUCAGCGACUUAUAUUCUGUAGCAAGGUUAACCAUCUAGGGGAGCCGCAGGGAAACCGAGUCUUAACUGGGCGUUAAGUUGCAGGGUAUAGACCCGAAACCCGGUGAUCUAGCCAUGGGCAGGUUGAAGGUUGGGUAACACUAACUGGAGGACCGAACCGACUAAUGUUGAAAAAUUAGCGGAUGACUUGUGGCUGGGGGUGAAAGGCCAAUCAAACCGGGAGAUAGCUGGUUCUCCCCGAAAGCUAUUUAGGUAGCGCCUCGUGAAGUCAUCUUCGGGGGUAGAGCACUGUUUCGGCUAGGGGGUCAUCCCGACUUACCAACCCGAUGCAAACUGCGAAUACCGAAGAAUGUUAUCACGGGAGACACACGGCGGGUGCUAACGUCCGUCGUGAAGAGGGAAACAACCCAGACCGCCAGCUAAGGUCCCGAAGUCAUGGUUAAGUGGGAAACGAAGUGGGAAGGCUCAGACAGCCAGGAUGUUGGCUUAGAAGCAGCCAUCAUUUAAAGAAAGCGUAAUAGCUCACUGGUCGAGUCGGCCUGCGCGGAAGAUGUAACGGGGCUAAACCAUGCACCGAAGCUGCGGCAGCGACAUUUAGAUGUUGUUGGGUAGGGGAGCGUUCUGUAAGCCGCAGAAGGUGGCCUGUGAGGGCUGCUGGAGGUAUCAGAAGUGCGAAUGCUGACAUAAGUAACGAUAAAGCGGGUGAAAAACCCGCUCGCCGGAAGACCAAGGGUUCCUGUCCAACGUUAAUCGGGGCAGGGUGAGUCGACCCCUAAGGCGAGGCCGACAGGCGUAGUCGAUGGGCAACAGGUUAAUAUUCCUGUACCCGGUGUGACUGCGAAGGGGGGACGGAGAAGGCUAGGCCAGCCGGGCGACGGUCGUCCCGGUUGAAGCGUGUAGGUGGGUGGUUUUGGAAAAUCCGGACCGCUGAUAACACUGAGGCGUGAUAACGAGGCACUACGGUGCUGAAGUGGUUGAUGCCCUGCUUCCAGGAAAAGCCUCUAAGCAUCAGGUCACAUUGGAUCGUACCCCAAACCGACACAGGUGGUCAGGUAGAGAAUACUCAGGCGCUUGAGAGAACUCGGGUGAAGGAACUAGGCAAAAUGGUGCCGUAACUUCGGGAGAAGGCACGCUGGCGCCAGGUGAAGGAACGAGCUUCCGGAGCCGAGGCCAGUCGCAGAUACCAGCUGGCUGCAACUGUUUAAUAAAAACACAGCACUGUGCAAACACGCAAGUGGACGUAUACGGUGUGACGCCUGCCCGGUGCUGGAAGGUUAAUUGAUGGGGUUAUCGCGUUGCGAGAAGCUCUUGAUCGAAGCCCCAGUAAACGGCGGCCGUAACUAUAACGGUCCUAAGGUAGCGAAAUUCCUUGUCGGGUAAGUUCCGACCUGCACGAAUGGCGUAAUGAUGGCCAGGCUGUCUCCACCCGAGACUCAGUGAAAUUGAACUCGCUGUGAAGAUGCAGUGUACCCGCGGCAAGACGGAAAGACCCCGUGAACCUUUACUAUAGCUUGACACUGAACCUUGAGCCUUUGAUGUGUAGGAUAGGUGGGAGGCCUGGAAGUGCGGACGCCAGUCUGCAUGGAGCCAACCUUGAAAUACCACCCUUGAAUGUUUGAUGUUCUAACGCAGGCCCGUGAUCCGGGUUGCGGACAGUGUCUGGUGGGUAGUUUGACUGGGGCGGUCUCCUCCCAAAGCGUAACGGAGGAGCACGAAGGUUAGCUAAUCACGGUCGGACAUCGUGAGGUUAGUGCAAUGGCAUAAGCUGGCUUGACUGCGAGAGUGACAGCUCGAGCAGGUGCGAAAGCAGGUCAUAGUGAUCCGGUGGUUCUGAAUGGAAGGGCCAUCGCUCAACGGAUAAAAGGUACUCCGGGGAUAACAGGCUGAUACCGCCCAAGAGUUCAUAUCGACGGCGGUGUUUGGCACCUCGAUGUCGGCUCAUCACAUCCUGGGGCUGAAGCAGGUCCCAAGGGUACGGCUGUU
rnacentral:rRNA from 1 species